ACACUCCUACGGGAGGUAGCAGUGGGGAAUAUUGCACAAUGGGCGCAAGCCUGAUGCAGCCAUGCCGCGUGUAUGAAGAAGGCCUUCGGGUUGUAAAGUACUUUCAGCGGGGAGGAAGGCGAUAAGGUUAAUAACCUUGUCGAUUGACGUUACCCGCAGAAGAAGCACCGGCUAACUCCGUGCCAGCAGCCGCGGUAAUACGGAGGGUGCAAGCGUUAAUCGGAAUUACUGGGCGUAAAGCGCACGCAGGCGGUCUGUCAAGUCGGAUGUGAAAUCCCCGGGCUCAACCUGGGAACUGCAUUCGAAACUGGCAGGCUAGAGUCUUGUAGAGGGGGGUAGAAUUCCAGGUGUAGCGGUGAAAUGCGUAGAGAUCUGGAGGAAUACCGGUGGCGAAGGCGGCCCCCUGGACAAAGACUGACGCUCAGGUGCGAAAGCGUGGGGAGCAAACAGGAUUAGAAACCCUAGUAGUCCCAUG
rnacentral:rRNA from 1 species